ACGCCUAACACAUGCAAGUCGAACGAAGUAGCAAUACUUAGUGGCAGACGGGUGAGUAACAUGUAGGUAUCUGCCCUUUGGCCUGGAAUAACACGAGGAAACUUGUGCUAAUACCGGAUAAGUCUUUACGGAGAAAGCUUUAUGCACCAUUGGAUGAGCCUGCACUUGAUUAGUUUGUUGGUGGGGUAAUGGCCUACCAAGACUGUGAUCAAUAGCUGAUUUGAGAGGAUGAUCAGCCACAUUGGGACUGAGACACGGCCCAAACUCCUACGGGAGGCAGCAGUGGGGAAUCUUGCACAAUGGAGGAAACUCUGAUGCAGCGAUGCCGCGUGAGUGAAGAAGGCCUUUGGGUUGUAAAGCUCUUUCGUCGGGGAAGAAAAUGACUGUACCCGAAUAAGAAGGUCCGGCUAACUUCGUGCCAGCAGCCGCGGUAAUACGAAGGGACCUAGCGUAGUUCGGAAUUACUGGGCUUAAAGAGUUCGUAGGUGGUUGAAAAAGUUGGUGGUGAAAUCCCAGAGCUUAACUCUGGAACUGCCAUCAAAACUUUUCAGCUAGAGUAUGAUAGAGGAAAGCAGAAUUUCUAGUGUAGAGGUGAAAUUCGUAGAUAUUAGAAAGAAUACCAAUUGCGAAGGCAGCUUUCUGGAUCAUUACUGACACUGAGGAACGAAAGCAUGGGUAGCGAAGAGGAUUAGAUACCCUCGUAGUCCAUGCCGUAAACGAUGUGUGUUAGACGUUGGAAAUUAAUUUUCAGUGUCGCAGCGAAAGCGAUAAACACACCGCCUGGGGAGUACGACC
rnacentral:rRNA from 1 species